GACGAACCGUGCGAACGUUAUUCGGAAUCACUGGGCUUAAAGCGCGUGUAGGCGGGUCGGUGCGUCGGCCGCUGAAAUCCCCCGGCUCAACCGGGGAAGGGGCGCCGAUACGACCGGCCUGGAGCGACGUAGGGGGGACUGGAACUUCCGGUGGAGCGGUGAAAUGCGUUGAGAUCGGAAGGAACGCCCGCGGCGAAAGCGAGUCCCUGGACGUCGGCUGACGCUGAGACGCGAAAGCCAGGGGAGCGAACGGG
rnacentral:rRNA from 1 species